rnacentral:rRNA from 1 species
ACAAUGAAGAGUUUGAUCCUGGCUCAGGAUGAACGCUAGCGGCAGGCUUAACACAUGCAAGUCGAGGGGCAGCACGGGUAGCAAUACUUGGUGGCGACCGGCGCAAGGGUGCGUAACG